rnacentral:rRNA from 1 species
GUGCCAGCCGCCGCGGUAAUACGUAGGUGGCAAGCGUUGUCCGGAAUUACUGGGUGUAAAGGGCGCGUAGGCGGGUUUACAAGUCAGAUGUGAAAAUCCGGGGCUCAACCCCGGAAUUGCAACUGAAACUGUAUAUCUUGAGUGUUGGAGAGGGAAGUGGAAUUCCUAGUGUAGCGGUGAAAUGCGUAGAGAUUAGGAGGAACACCAGUGGCGAAGGCGACUUUCUGGCCAACAACUGACGCUGAGGCGC